rnacentral:rRNA from 1 species
AGGACGAACGCUGGCGGCGUGCUUAACACAUGCAAGUGGAGCGACGAACCAGGGCUUGCCCUGGGGCAGAGCCGCGAACGGGUGAGUAACACGUGGGUUACCUGCCUCGAUGACCGGGACAACCCGAGGAAAACUCGGGCUAAUACCGGAUGUGCCCGCAAGGGGAAAGGAAGCUUCGGCCUCCGCAUCGAGAUGGGCCCGCGUCCCAUUAGCUAGUUGGUGGGGUAACGGCCUACCAAGGCACCGAUGGGUAGCUGGUUUGAGAGAGCGACCAGCCACACUGGGACUGAGAAACGGCCCAGACUCCUACGGGAGGCAGCAGUGAGGAAUUUUCCGCAAUGGGCGAAAGCCUGACGGAGCGACGCCGCGUGUGGGAAGAAGGCCUUCGGGUCGUAAACCACUGUCGAAGGGACUAUACUGAAGGUACCUUGGAGGAAGCCCGGCUAACUACGUGCCAGCAGCCGC